GGGGAGUACGGCCGCAAGGUUAAAACUCAAAUGAAUUGACGGGGGCCCGCACAGCGGUGGAGCAUGUGGUUUACUUCGAUGCAACGCGAAGAACCUUACCUGGUCUUGACAUAUCUAGAAUCCUGCAGAGAUGCGGGAGUGCCUUCGGGAAUUAGAAUACAGGUGCUGCAUGGCUGUCGUCAGCUNGUGUCGUGAGAUGUUGGGUUAAGUCCCGCAACGAGCGCAACCCUUGUCCUUAGUUACCAGCGGGUUAAGCCGGGAACUCUAAGGAUACUGCCAGUGACAAACUGGAGGAAGGCGGGGACGACGUCAAGUCAUCAUGGCCCUUACGACCAGGGCUACACACNUGCUACAAUGGUAGGUACAGAGGGCAGCUACACAGCGAUGUGAUGCGAAUCUCAAAAAGCCUAUCGUAGUCCAGAUUGGAGUCUGCAACUCGACUCCAUGAAGUAGGAAUCGCUAGUAAUCGCGGAUCAGAAUGCCGCGGUGAAUACGUUCCCGGGCCUUGUACACACCGCCCGUCACACCAUGGGAGUUGAUUGCACCAGAAGUGGUUAGCCGAACCUUUUAGGACGGCG
rnacentral:rRNA from 1 species